GGCCACAUCGCAUUGAAACACCGGUUCUUGUACGAUCACCGAAGUUAAGCAACGUCGUGCUGCGUCAGUACCUAAAAUGGGUGACAGUUUGGGAAUGUCAAAUGCUGUAA